rnacentral:rRNA from 1 species
CCAGGUGAGCUACUCCAGGAUAGCCUCUUAAAGAAGGGCGCACCCAUCUCUGUUGCAGAAGAGUGGAAAGAUUCUUGAGUAGGGGCGAUAAACCUAACGAACCCGGUUAUAGCUGGUUGUCUGGAAAAUGAAUAGAAGUUCAGCUCUCCCCGCCCCUCCGCCAAGAACAAUGUGAAGGCCCCCAGGCCUGGAGAAGUUAUUUAAGGGAGGUACAGCUCCUUUAAUAACAAGACACAACUUUUGAAGGUGGGUAAGGAUCACAACUAAGACAAGGCUCCGUGCUUUAGUAGGCCUGAAAGCAGCCACCUAGCAGGAGAGCGUUAAAGCUCAAGCACAUCUGUUCCUCCUAUGCUGACGAACUCAUCCGAACCCCCUAACCUUACCGGACCAUUAUGUACCAAUACAUAAGUGAUUCUGCUAAUAUGAGUAAUAAGGGGGCUUAUAUCAAGGCCUCCUCCCAGCACGCGUGUACCGCGGUACGAACCCCCGCCGCCACCUAACGAUGCCACCAGAAGAGGCAACUGGGUUACGAUUUAGACAAUUAAAAGUACACCCAGCACCUACACGUUAACCCUACACCGGAGUGCACCAGGGAAAGACUUAACGAGGGAAAAGGAACUCGGCAAACCAGGGUCUCGCCUGGUUACCAAAAACAUCGCCUCCCCCGAACUAAAAAUGGGAGGUAGUGCCUGCCCCGUGACCAUAAGUUUAACGGCCGCGGUACAUUAACCGUGCAAAGGUAGCGCAAUCACUCGUCUCUUAAUUGGGGACCCGUAUGAAUGGCGUGACGAAGACCUAACUGUCUCUUUCCUCAAGUCAAUGAAAUUGAUCUUCCCGUGCAAAAGCGGGCAUAAGAACACGGGACGAGAAGACCCUGUGGAGCUUGAAACGACGAAGGACUCAAACCCCAAAGCCUAUACUUAAAGGGCCUGCCAAACUGAAUUAUCCUUACACGUUUUCGGUUGGGGCGACCGAGGGAUAUAAAAGAACUCCCAUGUGGACCGGAGUAAACUCCGCAGCCAAAACUUACCUGUUUAAGCGCCAGAAUGUCUGACCUAAAGACCCGGCGAAGCCGAUCGACGAACCAAGUUACCCCAGGGAUAACAGCGCAAUCCUCUCUUAGAGCUCUUAUCGACGAGAGGGUUUACGACCUCGAUGUUGGAUCAGGACCUCCUAAUGGUGCAGCCGCUAUU